rnacentral:rRNA from 1 species
GAUGAACGCUGGCGGCGUGCCUAACACAUGCAAGUCGAACGGAGUACCCGCAAAUGAGGCUUCGGCCAAAUGAGCGGAAUACUUAGUGGCGGACGGGUGAGUAACGCGUGAGUAACCUGCCGGGGAGAGUGGAAUAACACAUCGAAAGGUGUGCUAAUACCGCAUAUUGCAUAGCAGUCACAUGGCUGAUAUGUGAAAGAUUUAUCGCUCCCUGAUGGACUCGCGUCUGAUUAGCUGGUUGGUAGGGUAGAGGCCUACCAAGGCGACGAUCAGUAGCCGGACUGAGAGGUUGAACGGCCACAUUGGGACUGAGACACGGCCCAGACUCCUACGGGAGGCAGCAGUGGGGAAUAUUGCGCAAUGGGGGCAACCCUGACGCAGCAACGCCGCGUGAAGGAAGAAGGUCUUCGGAUUGUAAACUUUUGUCUUUGGUGAAGAUAGUGACGGUAGCCAAGGAGGAAGCCACGGCUAACUACGUGCCAG